rnacentral:misc_RNA from 1 species
UGAGGCUUUUCCAUUAGUUCU